rnacentral:rRNA from 1 species
CCUACGGGUGGCAGCAGUAGGGAAUUUUUCACAAUGGGCGAAAGCCUGAUGGAGCAACGCCGCGUGCAGGAUGAAGGCCUUCGGGCUGUAAACUGCUUUUAUAAGCGAGAAAUAUGAUGGUAACUUAUGAAUAAGGAUCGGCUAACUACGUGCCAGCAGCCGCGGUCAUACGUAGGAUCCGAGCAUUAUCCGGAGUGACUGGGUGUAAAGAGUUGCGUAGGUGGCAUAAUAAGUAGCUAGUGAAAUCUGGUGGCUCAACCAUUCAGACUAUUAGCUAAACUGUUAAGCUCGAGACCGUUAGGGGUAACUGGAAUUUCUAGUGUAGGAGUGAAAUCCGUAGAUAUUAGAAGGAACACCAAUAGCGUAGGCAGGUUGCUGGGACGGUUCUGACACUAAGGCACGAAAGCGUAGGGAGCAAACGGGAUUAGAUACCCGGGUAGUC